CAAAACCGUGACCCUAAACCGUGAUAAAACCGAACCGUGAGUAAUCUGAACCAUUGCACCCCUAAUAAUAAUAAUAAUAAUUAGUCAACUUAAAAUAGUCUUUUAAGUCCACCUCCUUGAAACUUAUCAAAUAAUUCACAAUUAUUGAAGAGAAUGUAAAUGCAGCCACUGCUAAAACCAUAAACUGAUCACCGGUCUGGACUUUUAAUGUACCAGCAGCUACAGUCUAAACAUUUCAAAAGUAGAAGUUUUCAGAAGGUUUUGCAGAAGUUUUCCAACAGCACCCAUUGUCCAAAUGAACAAGAUGAAUUAAUACACUGAAUGUUAUACCUGUAUUUAAAUCUCAUUCAAAUGAUUCCAAUCUUUGAUCAGUUAACUUCCUUUCUGCAUAAAUACUUAAAACAUUUCCACAAAACAGUUCCUUUCUGCAUAAAUAUUUGGCAUACAAACACAGAUGAGGAACAAAACACAGUCUACUCCAGGAGAGAAACUAGAGUUAGUUUGUUGGCAUCCUGAUGACACCGUAACUGUCUGAAAGUGUAAUCGAGAAUAUAGUAAGCUGCAUAAUGCACAGAAAAGAUGGACAAACCACUGAUGAUAUCUAUGAAAAUUAUGAUGGUAAAAUUAGAAAAGAGACCACAGACUCAACGCAAAGAAAAUCAUCUGAACUCACAGAAAGUGUUGGUGUGAUGAUCAGAAGCUCCAGAGCAGCUGCAGUGUGUUUGGUGCUGCUGUGUGUUCUUCUGCUGACUGCAGUCAUAGUGCUGUGUGUCAUGUUCACUCUAGAGAGACUACAGCUCAUAUCUAAGAAUGAAAACCUGACUAAUGAAAGAGACCAGCUAAAAUUCAAGAACAAAAAGCUGACCAAUGAGAGACACCAGCUAAGAAAUGAACUUCAGAUUUGUGCUGGAUGACUCGCUAUCAAUCCAGUUUUUACUACAUAUACUGUACAGAGAGAGGAGCAGAUCUGAUCAUCAUAAACAACAUAAAGGAUUUUGUUAAGAACAUGUCUGGUGCUACUGUAGUCUGGAUUGGUCUGACUGACAGUGGUGUGGAGAACACAUGGAAAUGGGUUGAUGGCACCAACAUGACCUCUGGGUUCUGGGCGUCUGGAUAGCCUAAUGGAGGCAGAGUAGAGAACUGUGUUGUGACUGUGGCUAAAUUGCCAGAGCGGCCUGGUUUAGUAGGGUGGAUUGAUCAACCAUGUGAUAAAACUUAUCAAUGGAUCUGUGAGAAGGGAAUUUCACAACUCAUAAUGCCAUAGGAACAUCACACAUCUUUUUGACACAAAUUUACAAAACAGUAUUUCCCAACCUUGCUCCUGGAGGCUGCCCACAACUGCACAUUUUGAAUGUCUCCUUUGUCAGACACCCAUUUCAUGUCCUGGAGUUUCUUGUAACGAGCUGAUGAGUUGAUUCAGGUGUGUUUAAUUAGGGAGACAUAUAAAAUAUGCAAAAUGGGACUCCAAAAGUGUGUUCCUUUCAACCAGAAAUGACCUGCAAGUGACUUCUCAGAGUAUUCUGCCAUAUCAUGUGAGAUUCCAGUCUGAAGGGAGUGAACAUCUUCUGCAGCACUUGAUUAAAAGCAAGCCUAUGUUGUUUUGUUUUGUGAGCGGUUUAAGAUUUCCUAACUACAGAUAAGAUGAGAUUUUGUAAGAUAGGAUAAGAAUCCUAAAUCAAUACACAUACACAUGUAUAUUACACAAAGGCAUGGCAAUUUAUAUGUGUUUGCAGAAAUAAAUUAUGGCAUCAAACC